CCCAGACUCCUACGGGAGGCAGCAGUGGGGGAUAUUGCACAAUGGGCGCAAGCCUGAUGCAGCGACGCCGCGUGAGCGAAGAAGUAUUUCGGUAUGUAAAGCUCUAUCAGCAGGGAAGAAAAUGACGGUACCUGACUAAGAAGCUCCGGCUAAAUACGUGCCAGCAGCCGCGGUAAUACGUAGGUGGCAAGCGUUGUCCGGAUUUACUGGGUGUAAAGGGCGUGUAGCCGGGCUGACAAGUCAGAUGUGAAAUCCGGGGGCUCAACCCCCGAACUGCAUUUGAAACUGUUGGUCUUGAGUAUCGGAGAGGCAGGCGGAAUUCCUAGUGUAGCGGUGAAAUGCGUAGAUAUUAGGAGGAACACCAGUGGCGAAGGCGGCCUGCUGGACGACAACUGACGGUGAGGCGCGAAAGCGUGGGGAGCAAACAGGAUUAGAUACCCUUGUA
rnacentral:rRNA from 1 species